CAUGCAAGUCGAGCGGUAAGGCCCCUUCGGGGGUACACGAGCGGCGAAAGGGAGAGUAACGCGUAGAUACGUACCCCUCGGUGCGGGAUAGCCUCGGGAAACCGUGGGUAAUACCGCAUAACGUCCCCGGACCAAAGAUUUAUCGCCGGGGGAGCGGUCUGCGUCCUAUUAGGUAGUUGGUGGGGUAACGGCCUACCAAGCCGAAGAUGGGUACCGGGUGUGAGAGCAUGGCCCGGCUCACUGGGACUGAGACACUGCCCAGACAACUACGGUUGGCUGCAGUCGAGAAUCUUCCGCAAUGGACGAAAGUCUGACGGAGCGACGCCGCGUGCGGGAUGAAGGCCUUCGGGUUGUAAACCGCUGUCAGAGGGGAGCAAGGGAAACUUGAGCGAUCCUCAGAGGAAGACCGGGCUAAGCUCGUGCCAGCAGCCGCGGUAACACGAACCGGUCGAACGUUAUUCGGAAUCACUGGGCUUAAAGAGUCCGUAGGCGGAUUGGUAAGUCGGGUGUGAAAUCCCACGGCUCAACCGUGGAACUGCGCCCGAUACUGCCCGUCUUGAGGGAGACAGAGGUGAGCGGAACAGAUGGUGGAGCGGUGAAAUGCGUUGAUAUCAUCUGGAACACCGGUGGCGAAGGCGGCUCACCGGGUCUCUUCUGACGCUGAGGGACGAAAGCUAGGGUAGCGAACGGGAUUAGAUACCCCGGUAGUCCUAGCUGUAAACGAUGAGCACUGGGUCGAGGGAACCUCCACAUUUUCUCGGCCGUAGCGAAAGCGUUAAGUGCUCCGCCUGGGGAGUAUGGUCGCAAGGCUGAAACUCAAAGGAAUUGAC
rnacentral:rRNA from 1 species